rnacentral:rRNA from 1 species
UACGGCUCAGUAACACGUAGAUAAUCUGCCCUAUGGCUGGAAAUAAAGUCGGGAAACUGACCUUAAUGUCCAAUAGACGAUUUAUACUGGAAUGUUUUAUCGUUCAAAGUUUGCCAUAGGAUGAGUCUGCGGUGGAUUAGGUUGUUGGCGGGGUAAUAGCCCACCAAGCCGAUGAUCCAUAAGGGUUUUUAGCGGAAGAGCCCUGAGAAGGAAUCUGAGACACUAUUCCUAGCCCCACGGGGUGCAGCAGUCGAGAAACUUUUGCAAUGCACGAAAGUGUGACAGAGCAAGCCAGAGUGAUUUUCCGUAUUGGAAAAUCUUUUGUAAGAUGUAAAAAGUCUUACGAAUAAGGACUGGGCAAGACUAGUGCCAGCCGCCGCGGUAAUACUAGCGGUCCGAGUCGCAAUCAUGUUUAUUGGGUCUAAAACAUCCGUAGCUUGUCGAGUAAGUCUUUUGUGAAAUCCCACGUCUCAAGCGUGGAAGUGCGAAAGAUACUGCUCGGCUAGAGACCGGGAGAGGUAAGGAGUACGGUUAGGGUACCGGUUAAAUGGGUUGAUCCUAUCUGGACUAACAAUAGCGAAGGCACCUUACUAGAACGGAUCUGACAGUCAGGGAUGAAGGCUAGGGGCGCAAAACGGAUUAGAUACCCGUGUAGUCCUAGCAGUAAACACUGUGCACUAAACAUUGGGGCCUCUUCGGGAGGUUUCAGUGCUGUAGGGAAGCCGUAGAGUGCACUACCUGGGAAGUAUAGUCGCAAGGCCGAAACUUAAAGGAAUUGGCGGA